rnacentral:rRNA from 1 species
GAGUUUGAUCAUGGCUCAGGAUGAACGCUGGCGGCGUGCCUAACACAUGCAAGUCGAGCGAAGCACUUGUGAAUGAUCCUUCGGGUGAUUUUGCUGGUGACUGAGCGGCGGACGGGUGAGUAACGCGUGGGUAACCUGCCUCAUACAGGGGGAUAACAGUUAGAAAUGACUGCUAAUACCGCAUAAGACCACAGUACCGCAUGGUACAGGGGUAAAACUCCGGUGGUAUGAGAUGGACCCCGCGUCUGA